AUCAACCUGACACUAGCCUGAAUAACCGACACCUUACUGGCCCUAUUACUAAUAAUAAUAACAUUUUGGCUCCCACAACUUAAUAUUUAUAUAGAAAAAUCUGACCCCUAUGAAUGCGGAUUCGACCCAAUAACUUCCGCCCACCUCCCCUUUUCCAUAAAAUUCUUCCUAGUAGCCAUCAUGUUCCUCUUGUUCGACUUAGAGAUCACUCUACUACUACCGCUGCCAUGAGCCCUUCAAACAACCAACCUGACACUAAUAAUCAGCACAGCCCUUAUAUUAGUUACCAUUUUAAUCCUAGGU
rnacentral:lncRNA from 1 species